UACGUAGGGUGCAAGCGUUGUCCGGAAUUAUUGGGCGUAAAGGGCGCGUAGGCGGAUGGUACAGUCAGAUGUGAAAUUCCCGGGCUCAACCUGGGGGCUGCAUUUGAUACGUGCUGUCUUGAGUUCGGAAGAGGGUCGUGGAAUUCCCAGUGUAGAGGUGAAAUUCGUAGAUAUUGGGAAGAACACCGGUGGCGAAGGCGGCGACCUGGUCCGAGACUGACGCUGAGGCGCGAAAGCGUGGGGAGCAAACAGG
rnacentral:rRNA from 1 species